AUUUUUUUAUAUUAAGUCGUUUGUUUGUUUAGCUGGUUAGUAACUACCAUUCGGAUGAGAACACAUAAGACAAAACGUCACCACUUUGCUUCUGCAGUGGUGUAGCUCUCUUUGCCUUUGCCGCCAUAUUUGAACAGCACUAUCUGUGCGCGUUCGGUCGCUGAGCAUUACGUCAGCGACGAUCACAGUGCCGCCUCACCGGAAGGAUCAAAUUGUCACACUACUCGUCGGUGGUCGGUUUUCUCGCUGACGACGUUCCGUGCUUCGGAGAAACGAUUUCGAUCCACAACACAUACUACUACAAUAAUCCCUACCAACGUCGUAACUGGUGGACGAAAACGCGGUCGGUUCGUCAUCGCCGUCCACCGGUAACCAGUGCAGGCAACUGGAUGCGCCGAUUUCGACUACACUGUAAAAAGUGGUGAUACGAACAUUUUUUUUAACCUUUCAUUAUUUACGUGAACUUUUUCGCUUUACUUAUAUUUUUUUCCUGAAAAAAAAUGGUGUAUCUCGUUAGGCGUUAGUGAAUCGUGUUUUGAUUGUUAUUAUUAUUUUUUUUGUUUUCGUUUGCUUGUUCUCUAAGUAUAAUAGUUGCACCUUGUCUGCCGACGAUUCUACCGACGUCCGGUGAAUCGCGUACGUUUCAAUUUGGUUUUUCCGAAACGGAUAAAACGAUACGCCCGUCCAUUGUUUGUGCAACCGCUCCGAGACGAGUCGUCUGUUUCGUCAACAAACGCUUAACAGUCUGAUGGAUAAUAUUUGUUUUUUCACUGAACAACGCCUGAAGAAUUAAGAAAUGCCACACAAGUGAUUGGCUUUUAUCAAUGUUGUGUUCCAUUAGGUACCUACGUUCAGUUUGUUUAGUAGAGUAUAAAAAUGUAUGAUUAUUGGUCAUUGAAGAACAAUAUGCAAUGUUAUUCUGAACAUCUAUUUCAAUCGGAUUAUUACAAAUUGGAUAUUACAUACUAUAUUAGUCAGUGCAAUUAAUAAUAAUGUUUAAAACAAAUUAUACCAUAUUGAAGGGAAACAAAUGUUUCAGAGUAAAUGCCUUACUAUUCAGUCAAACUUCUGUGCGCACUAAGACAGAGUACUAUAUGGCUACUUAUUAUAGGCUACUUCCUACUGGUGGAGGCAUUUAUUAAAGGUAAUUGGUAUAUUAUUCUUUUUAUUUUAUUAGUAUUCUGAGUUAUAUUUUAUUAAUCAAACACUUGAAAGAAUUUGAAGUGUAUAUUUAUUUUUUUAUAGAAAGUUAUUUUCUAUAAUCAAUUAAGUAUACAUUUAAUCUUUAGAUUCUGCUACGACUUUAAAAUUAGACUCUGUCAGUGUUAUUAACAUUUAAUUGGCCUAUAGUAGGUAUACCUAAUAUUAAUUAUGUGUAUACAUGGUUAGUGGUUACCUAUGAAUUAAACCAAAAUUAUUCAAAAAUGUGUAUUUAUUUAAAUAUUGAUGGACAAUAUAUGUUUUUAAAUGGAAUACAUAUUAACUCUAAAAAAUUUUAAAUAUUAAAGAAUUUUUUAUUUAUUAAAAACAAAACAUUGUACAUGAGUAUAAUCUGGUUACUUCUCUAACUAUAGAAAAGUAAUUACCUAUUCUGUGUUCCUCAAUUUAACAGACUAUACUUAAACUGGAAGAAGAAAGUUAAUAAUCAAAUUCACAAUUGGAAAUUAUAUUAAUUUUACUGGUAAAUUCAAAAUUAUCUAUAUUUUAAUGUAAUAAUGUUAUGGUAAGCUCUUUAUGUUUAGAGGUAUAAGGCUAUGCUAUUAUGAUAUUAUUUAUAAAUUAUUUUAAAUGGCAUUCUAUUUUUUUUUUAUUUUUUUUUUUUUUUUAUGUGUGUUCAAAAUGUGGU